GACGAACGCUGGCGGCGUGCUUAACACAUGCAAGUCGAACGAUGAUGCCCAGCUUGCUGGGCGGAUUAGUGGCGAACGGGUGAGUAAUACGUGAGUAACCUGCCCUUGACUCUGGGAUAAGCCUGGGAAACUGGGUCUAAUACUGGAUACUACCUCUUACCGCAUGGUGGGUGGUGGAAAGGGUUUUACUGGUUUUGGAUGGGCUCACGGCCUAUCAGCUUGUUGGUGGGGUAAUGGCUCACCAAGGCGACGACGGGUAGCCGGCCUGAGAGGGUGACCGGCCACACUGGGACUGAGACACGGCCCAGACUCCUACGGGAGGCAGCAGUGGGGAAUAUUGCACAAUGGGCGGAAGCCUGAUGCAGCGACGCCGCGUGAGGGAUGACGGCCUUCGGGUUGUAAACCUCUUUCAGUAGGGAAGAAGCGAGAGUGACGGUACCUGCAGAAGAAGCGCCGGCUAACUACGUGCCAGCAGCCGCGGUAAUACGUAGGGCGCAAGCGUUGUCCGGAAUUAUUGGGCGUAAAGAGCUCGUAGGCGGUUUGUCGCGUCUGCUGUGAAAGCCCGGGGCUCAACCCCGGGUCUGCAGUGGGUACGGGCAGACUAGAGUGCAGUAGGGGAGACUGGAAUUCCUGGUGUAGCGGUGAAAUGCGCAGAUAUCAGGAGGAACACCGAUGGCGAAGGCAGGUCUCUGGGCUGUUACUGACGCUGAGGAGCGAAAGCAUGGGGAGCGAACAGGAUUAGAUACCCUGGUAGUCCAUGCCGUAAACGUUGGGCACUAGGUGUGGGGGACAUUCCACGUUUUCCGCGCCGUAGCUAACGCAUUAAGUGCCCCGCCUGGGGAGUACGGCCGCAAGGCUAAAACUCAAAGGAAUUGACGGGGGCCCGCACAAGCGGCGGAGCAUGCGGAUUAAUUCGAUGCAACGCGAAGAACCUUACCAAGGCUUGACAUUCACCGGACUACCCCAGAGAUGGGGUUUCCCUUCGGGGCUGGUGGACAGGUGGUGCAUGGUUGUCGUCAGCUCGUGUCGUGAGAUGUUGGGUUAAGUCCCGCAACGAGCGCAACCCUCGUUCUAUGUUGCCAGCACGUGAUGGUGGGGACUCAUAGGAGACUGCCGGGGUCAACUCGGAGGAAGGUGGGGAUGACGUCAAAUCAUCAUGCCCCUUAUGUCUUGGGCUUCACGCAUGCUACAAUGGCCGGUACAAAGGGUUGCGAUACUGUGAGGUGGAGCUAAUCCCAAAAAGCCGGUCUCAGUUCGGAUUGAGGUCUGCAACUCGACCUCAUGAAGUCGGAGUCGCUAGUAAUCGCAGAUCAGCAACGCUGCGGUGAAUACGUUCCCGGGCCUUGUACACACCGCCCGUCAAGUCACGAAAGUUGGUAACACCCGAAGCCGGUGGCCUAACCCCUUGUGGGAGGGAGCCGUCGAAGGUGGGACUGGCGAUUGGGACU
rnacentral:rRNA from 1 species